AUUGAACGCUGGCGGCAUGCCUUACACAUGCAAGUCGAACGGCAGCGCGGGCUUCGGCCUGGCGGCGAGUGGCGAACGGGUGAGUAAUACAUCGGAACGUGUCCUGGAGUGGGGGAUAGCCCGGCGAAAGCCGGAUUAAUACCGCAUACGCUCGGGAGAGGAAAGCGGGGGACCGAAAGGCCUCGCGCUCAAGGGGCGGCCGAUGGCAGAUUAGCUAGUUGGUGGGGGAAAGGCCUAACAAGGCGACGAUCUGUAGCUGGUCUGAGAGGACGACCAGCCACACUGGGACUGGGACACGGCCCAGACUCCUACGGGAGGCAGCAGUGGGGAAUUUUGGACAAUGGGGGCAACCCUGAUCCAGCAAUGCCGCGUGUGUGAAGAAGGCCUUCGGGUUGUAAAGCACUUUUGUCCGGAAAGAAAACCUCUGGGUUAAUACCUCGGGAGGAUGACGGUACCGGAGGAAUAAGCACCGGCUAACUACGUGCCAGCCGCCGCCGUAAAAC
rnacentral:rRNA from 1 species